rnacentral:rRNA from 1 species
AGCAGCCGCGGUAAUUCCAGCUCCAAUAGCGUAUAUUAAAGUUGUUGCAGUUAAAAAAGCUCGUAGUCGAAUUUCGGGAUCAAUAUAUCGGUCGUGCCAUUGGUACGUACUGGUAUCAUUGGUUUCUCCCUUCUGACGAACCAUGAUGUCAUUAAUUUGGUGUUAUGGGAAGUUAGGACUGUUACUUUGAAAAAAUUUAGAGUGUUUAAAGCAGGCUUUAGCUUGGAUACAUUAGCAUGGAAUAAUGAAAUAGGACGUUCGAACCUAUUUUGUUGGUUUCUAGGAUCAACGUAAUGAUUAAUAGGGAUAGUUGGGGGCAUUAGUAUUCAAUUGUCAGAGGUGAAAUUCUUGGAUUUAUUGAAGACUAACUACUGCGAAAGCAUUUGCCAAGGAUGUUUUCAUUAAUCAAGAACGAAAGUUAGGGGAUCGAAGACGAUCAGAUACCGUCGUAGUCUUAACCAUAAACUAUGCCGACUAGGGAUCGGAUGAUGUUAAUUUUUAAUGUACUCAUUCGGCGCCU